rnacentral:rRNA from 1 species
CGGCCGGCGCACGGGUGAGUAACGCGUAUGAACCUUACCUAUCGGAGGGGGACGACCCGGCGAAAGUCGGACUAAUACCGCAUGAAGCAGGGGCCCCGCAUGGGGAUAUUUGCUAAAGAUUCAUCGCUGGUAGAUAGGCAUGCGUUCCAUUAGGCAGUUGGCGGGGUAACGGCCCACCAAACCGACGAUGGAUAGGGGUUCUGAGAGGAAGGUCCCCCACAUUGGUACUGAGACACGGACCAA